rnacentral:rRNA from 1 species
UACGGAGGGUGCAAUCGUUAAUCGGAAUUACUGGGCGUAAAGCGUGCGCAGGCGGUUAUAUAAGACAGAUGUGAAAUCCCCGGGCUCAACCUGGGAACUGCAUUUGUGACUGCAUAGCUAGAGUACGGCAGAGGGGGAUGGAAUUCCGCGUGUAGCAGUGAAAUGCGUAGAUAUGCGGAGGAACACCGAUGGCGAAGGCAAUCCCCUGGGCCUGUACUGACGCUCAUGCACGAAAGCGUGGGGAGCAAACAGGAUUAGAUACCCCAGUAGUCC